GACGAACGCUGGCGGCGUGCCUAAUACAUGCAAGUCGAACGCUUCUUUCCUCCCGAGUGCUUGCACUCAAUUGGAAAGCGGAGUGGCGGACGGGUGAGUAACACGUGGGUAACCUACCCAUCAGAGGGGGAUAACACUUGGAAACAGGUGCUAAUACCGCAUAACAGUUUAUGCCGCAUGGCAUAAGAGUGAAGGGCGCUUUCGGGUGUCGCUGAUGGAUGGACCCGCGGUGCAUUAGCUAGUUGGUGAGGUAACGGCUCACCAAGGCCACGAUGCAUAGCCGACCUGGGAGGGUGAUCGGCCACACUGGGACUGAGACACGGCCCAGACUCCUACGGGAGGCAGCAGUAGGGAAUCUUCGGCAAUGGACGAAAGUCUGACCGAGCAACGCCGCGUGAGUGAAGAAGGUUUUCGGAUCGUAAAACUCUGUUGUUAGAGAAGAACAAGGACGUUAGUAACUGAACGUCCCCUGACGGUAUCUAACCAGAAAGCCACGGCUAACUACGUG
rnacentral:rRNA from 1 species